UACGGGGGGGGCAAGCGUUGUUCGGAAUUACUGGGCGUAAAGGGCUCGUAGGCGGCCAACUAAGUCAGACGUGAAAUCCCUCGGCUUAACCGGGGAACGGCGUCUGAUACUGGAUGGCUUGAAUCCGGGAGAGGGAUGCGGAAUUCCAGGUGUAGCGGUGAAAUGCGUAGAUAUCUGGAGGAACACCGGUGGCGAAGGCGGCAUCCUGGACCGGCAUUGACGCUGAGGCGCGAAAGCCAGGGGAGCGAACAGG
rnacentral:rRNA from 1 species